UUGAACGCUGGCGGCAUGCUUUACACAUGCAAGUCGAACGGUAACAGGGAGCUUGCUCCGCUGACGAGUGGCGAACGGGUGAGUAAUGCAUCGGAACGUACCCAGUCGUGGGGGAUAACGUAGCGAAAGUUACGCUAAUACCGCAUACGUCCUGAGGGAGAAAGCGGGGGACCGUAAGGCCUCGCGCGAUUGGAGCGGCCGAUGUCGGAUUAGCUAGUUGGUGGGGUAAAGGCCUACCAAGGCGACGAUCCGUAGCGGGUCUGAGAGGAUGAUCCGUCACACUGGAACUGAGACACGGUCCAGACUCCUACGGGAGGCAGCAGUGGGGAAUUUUGGACAAUGGGGGCAACCCUGAUCCAGCCAUUCCGCGUGAGUGAAGAAGGCCUUCGGGUUGUAAAGCUCUUUCAGCCGGAACGAAACGGUACGCUCUAACAUAGCGUGCUAAUGACGGUACCGGCAGAAGAAGCACCGGCUAACUACGU
rnacentral:rRNA from 1 species